GAGGUGAUAAAAACACUCAACACAAGUCGAGAAGUCUUGAUGGUUGACUCAUUUUGUUGCAAUUCGCAAAAAACACACAUUUGCAUCCCACGUUGUGCUUCCGCAGCAAAAGAUUCGGUGCAUCACAAAUAGGAGCUCGAAUUGGAUGUGAUGUAACCGGCGUGUGUGCGCAUUAGAACUCGUCGGGAGGCAAUGUGGGAGGCGGGCAUGUAAGUCAUAUCUGCCCGUGGCUGCUAAUCACUGCCAUGGAUCCGGGAAGCCCCAAUCAGCGGGAGAAUAGCGGAGGCCAAAAGUAGUAGCGGGGGAACAGCUCGUCUGUUUAGGAAGUGGUGUAUAGUCUGCGCGGUAUAAUUAACGGAGGCUGGGCAGCUGGGGUUUGAAGUGCCCCACUGUAACCGAAACGAUAUCAGCAGUUGUGUUCCUCCGGUAUAAAUAGUGGCGCGGGCAUGUGGGCAGGCAGCUAUGACACAAUGGCAGAAUUUCACUGUUCUUUCAGGGAGGUUCGAGAAUGUGACACCCUGCCCGGCAAGGACGGCCCCAACCCGCGCCCUCCGCAGCCCCCAGAUGCUUCGCCCAGUCUUGAAGGUUACGUCAAGGUGGCCAUGGCAGCGCGCUGCAUUUCGGAGUGAUGGGAUGACGUUUGGCAGAGGUUUCAUUUGUCUUGCCAAGAUGCAGGUUGACGAUGACGGGAUGCAAGGGACACAAGAAACGGAGCGUGAUGACAGGAUGAUUGAUGAACCGAAAGGGCUCCACUGGGAAGAAGUUCAUCGAGACGCAGAGGUGAGCGGGGGACAACACUUUAUGACCGGUGAUUAGCACCCUUUGGCUUUUUUUAUUGUCCGAAUGCGGCACUGUGGCGUUGUUUACACACAAAGACAUCCUGAAGGAGUUGUGUACUUUGAUGCAAACUUUUCAGUAUUGGCAAAUAUUUUUUCCGAAAAGAAACUAGCAACAGAUUUCGGUGCUUUUAAAAUUUGAGAGGAAACUUUUAAGCAGUUUUUGAAAAGUGCUUGCUAAAAUACACACGCUUUCCUUCUACACGAUUUGCCUGUUUUUAAGAAAUCUUGCCAAGUAACUUUUCAAACACGGUUUUCACACUCCAGCAAUUAGUGACCCAAAGGUUUAAAAAAAAAAAG